GGUUCUGACACCGAGGGCUCCGGGGCAGGGGCAGGGCCCGCUGGCUUGGCGUGCGCAUGUGUGCACAGGUGUGUGGGUGUCUGCCUGGUGGGCAGGUGGCGUGUGCGCGUGUGUGUGUGUGAACUGGAGAUGUGAUCGAGGGCAUGGGUCCUGGGCUUCCCCCUCAUGGGUAAAACCAGAGCUGCCGUAUGCCAGCCGCAGAGGCAUGGACGGCUCCUGAGCUCGGACAGCAGAGGGACAGACCAUCGACGCGUUGGCACCGUGGCCAGAGUCUGUUCAAGAAAGGUCGGCAGGGAGGGCUGAGAACUCGGCAGACACACCUUCCAAGGGCCCUGCUGGAACCCCUGGAGCAGGAGGAAGCGGUGAUUCUCCAGGCCUUGGCCACAGGGACAGGCCAGGCCUCACAGCCAAGAGCCCUGGGAAAAGCUGCAUGCACAUGGCUGGAGAGAGGCUCUGCACCCGAGCACAGCCUGCUGCGACUCCUCAUAGACUCGGAAAAUUGAUUCGAAGGCAGAGGGCCUUCUCCCUCCCUGCGUGGUUUGGGGGCUGUUCCUGAUAGCACAGAUGCCCUGGUCACAAAUACCUGCCUGCAUUGCUGACCACAGGCCUGGCCUGGAGAAACCCACACCCUCUUCAGGGAAGUGACCAAGGGGCUUGGCAGUGCCUGAAGCCAGUGGGCUGGGGACUCACAGCCGGGACACUCAGCGCGGGCCGUGCGUCGUUUCUCCUGGAAUAACUGGAGGUGAUUUAAUGGAACCUGGAGGCUGAGCUUCAGGCUGGCAGGAGCGGCUCCAGACUGGGCCUUCUCCGUGGCUCUGCUCCCCGCUGUCCUUGCUUGAGUGGUGGGGGCCCUGCGUCCUGUCAUACCCACCCCCACCUUUCUCGCCAAAUUGUCGGAGGCUUUUGUCACCUGGAGACGCUGUUCCUGCCAGCUCCGGUCUUGGAAAACAUGGCCCCUGCUGCCAGCUGGACGUGGGCAUUUCUGCACCCAGUGGAACCCCGCAGCCAGGAAAGACGCCUGGAAGGCUAGAGGAGAGGCGUGAUGGGGGGACCCCACGUGUGGCAACAGAGCAGCACACCCAGCUCUUCUCAGCUACCAUGUGGGAGAGAAAUGAUGCCUCCGUCGAGCUCCCCAUAGCCGGAGCUGCUCUGUACAGCAUCCUAACCUUCACCCCAACUACUCAGUUGCCAUGGCAAAGGGAAUAUUUCGACUCCCUUUUUUUUAAUUUCCAGGUGAUUAUUGCUAGAGGAGUGGGAAGUUACUAAUUUUUGUAUAUUUAUCUUGUAUUAAAUUUUUUUACUGAUUUUUAAUUUUAAUUUUAAGAUUUUUUGAGAUGGAGUUUCACUCUUCUGGCCUAGGCUGGAGUGCAGUGGUGUGAUUUCGGCUCGCUGCAACCUCCGCCCAUGGGUUCAAGCGAUUCUUGUGCCUCAUACCCCCAAGUAGCUGGGAUUAUAGGCAUGCACCACCAUGCCCGGCUAAUUUUGUUUUUAGUAGAGACAGGAUUUCACUAUGUUGGUCAGGCUGGUCUCAAACUCCUGACCUCAGGUGAUCCGUCCACCUUGGCCUCCUAAAGUGCUGGGAUUACAGGCGUGAGCCACCGCACCUGGCCUGAUUUUUAAUUUUUAAAUGAGGGGGCAGAGGCAUAACUAGGUUUACAAUCAUGUCAUCAACAAAAUAAAUUGUCUUAUUUUUCUGAUG
rnacentral:sRNA from 1 species